rnacentral:misc_RNA from 1 species
UCGAGUUUUGACUGGGUUGUAGCUGGCCUUCCGAGGCAUGUGCACGCCCUGCUCAUCCACUCUACACCUGUGCACUUACUGUGGGUUUUACGGGUCGUGAAAUGGGCUCGUUUAUUCGGGCUUGUUGAGCGCACUUGUUGCCUGCGUUUAUCACAAACUCUAUAAAGUAUUAGAAUGUGUAUUGCGAUGUAACGCAUCUAUAUA